GAUGAACGCUGGCGGCGUGCCUAAUACAUGCAAGUCGAACGCAGUCCUUAGGGACUGAGUGGCGAACGGGUGAGUAAAAGAUAAGGAACCUGGCUUCUGAAGGGGGAUAGCGUCUGGAAACGGACGGUAAGACCGCGUAGGCAAUAUGGACGCAUGUCGAUAUUGUUAGAUAUGCUAUGGCAUAGACAGGAGAUGGACUUAUCACGCAUUAGCUAGUUGGCGGGGUAAAGGCCCACCAAGGCGACGAUGCGUAGCCGGCCUGAGAGGGCGGACGGCCACACUGGGACUGAGACACGGCCCAGAUUCCUACGGGAGGCAGCAGUAGGGAAUUUUCGGCAAUGGGCGAAAGCCUGACCGAGCAACGCCGCGUGAACGAAGAAGGUCUUCGGAUCGUAAAGUUCUGUUAUCGGGGAAGAGAGGCGGAUGCAGGGAAUGGUAUCCGAGAGGACGGUACCCG
rnacentral:rRNA from 1 species